UUGCCCAUUCUUUUCAUUCCUACCAAACUAAAAGCAAGAGAAGAGAAAAAAUAGAAGAAGAAGAAGAAGAAGGAGAAGGGCAAGGGAGGAGGAAGAAGAAAGGAGCAAGGGGAGCACCUAGCCAUCUAAGGGGGAGAACCAAGAGAUGACGAGACAAUGCAGCACGAGGCCAUCGGCUGUCCAUCAUCACCUAGGACUCGAGCUUGUCCGAGGUUGUGGGAGAUUUUGAUUACCGAGGUUGUGAGAGAUUUCAGUACUGCAUGCCAUAAAUUGAAAACGCGUGUGGUCAUACUUGUGGGUGCAGCAUGGCCGAGGUUGUGGUCAUUCUGGUUACCGCGGUUGUGGGAGAUUUCGAUAUUGCAUUCUCGAGCAUGAUCGCCUUGUAAUUGUGAUUCAUAUCAUGAUAGAUUGCAUUGGGCUACGAAAAAUAACCCAGGGUGCAGCUUGUUCGACGUUGUGGGAGAUUCUGGUUACCGAGGUUGUUGGAGAUUCUGAUACUACAUGCCCAUAAACUAAGACCAUAUGUGGUCAUGCUUGUGGGUGCAGCAUGGCCGAGGUUGUGGGUCAUUUUGGUUAACAAGGUUGUGGGAGAUUCCGGUAUUGCAUUCCCAAGUAUGAUCAUCUCGUAAUUGAGACGUGAAAUAAUCAUACUAGAUUGCAUUGGGUUAGGAAAAAUAACCUGGGUUGCAGCUUGUCCGAGGUUGUGGGAGAUUCUGGUAAUGCAUUCCCAAGUAUUAUCAUACUUUGGACUUAGAAUUUAUUGUUUAGAAUUGUUUACCAAUAGUUGGAUCAUGUUAUUUCAUGUAUCUAAUUGCAUUCAUCUAAUUUCAUUAAUAUUGUUUUGGCUGAACAAUUAUACUUAUUUCUAUUUUAUUGUUUGUUGUGAAUGCUUGUGUGUGUACCCCUCACUGGGUUUCAUGGAAGCUCACCCCAGUUAUUGCCCAUUUUUAGAUGAUGACUCAGGUUUGAAGAGCCGACUUUCUACGGAGGUGACCUCUGGGAUGAGGAGCUGGUCAUGCACAAGGACGGCUGUGCAUGCAACGAUUGUGCUUUUAGAGCACGCUGAGGAUGAGAGUAUCAUCUUCCCUUUUUAUUUUUGUGUUACAUAUCAUAUGUAGCCCUAGGGGCAUAACUGUAAUUAACAUUUAAUUGCGAAAACAUUUUGGUAAAUAUGGUGAAUAUUAUUAGACUUCA